rnacentral:rRNA from 1 species
UACGAAGGGAGCUAGCGUUGUUCGGAAUCACUGGGCGUAAAGCGCACGUAGGCGGAUUGUUAAGUCGGGGGUGAAAUCCUGGAGCUCAACUCCAGAACUGCCUUCGAUACUGACGAUCUCGAGUCCGGGAGAGGUGAGUGGAACUCCGAGUGUAGAGGUGAAAUUCGUAGAUAUUCGGAAGAACACCCGUGGCGAAGGCGGUUCUCUGGGACGGUACUGACGCUGAGACGCGAAAGCGUGGGGAGCGAACAGG